rnacentral:rRNA from 1 species
GACGAACGCUGGCGGCGUGCUUAACACAUGCAAGUCGAACGGGAACCUUUAUUUCGGUAAAGGUGAGAGUGGCAAACGGGUGAGUAACACGUAGGCAACCUGCCGACAGGGUGGGGACAACAUUCCGAAAGGAAUGCUAAUACCGAAUGGAGUCCGGAGAUGGCAUCAUCUCCGGAUAAAAGAUGGCCUCUGAAUAUGCUAUCGCCUGUCGAUGGGCCUGCGUCUGAUUAGCCAGUUGGCGGGGUAACGGCCCACCAAAGCGACGAUCAGUAGCCGGUCUGAGAGGAUGAACGGCCACAUUGGGACUGAGACACGGCCCAGACUCCUACGGGAGGCAGCAGUGGGGAAUCUUCCACAAUGGGCGAAAGCCUGAUGGAGCAGCGCCGCGUGAGUGAAGAAGGUCUUCGGAUCGUAAAGCUCUGUUGCACGGGACGAAAACCGAGCUUGAGAA